rnacentral:lncRNA from 1 species
AACUCUGAGACCCGACAGCAGUGGAUCUGGCUCUAGGAGGCCGUUAUUACCUCCUGGAGGGCCCCCGCGGCCACUACACGGCCUCCACCGCCCUGCGGGAGUUAGGAAGGGGCGGGAGUCUGCUGGCUGACUUCCGCGCGCCCGCCCGCGCCCGAGGCCUGCACGUUUGGGGGACCAUGCUCAUCCGUGUCCCCAGCGUCCUCCCUGCUACGUAACUGGCCUGGACGUCCUUGGGAGUUUCCAGGGGCCUCCAUCAGGUGACCUGUUUUCCCGACCCAGUCUCUGGGUUCUUAGCCCAGGGCCAGGAAGCGACGCCUGGGACCCUUGUGUCCCAACAGGGCGAAGAUCCUUGCUGUGGCAACUCGACCCCGGCCUGCCCUCCGCGGCCUCGCCCGCCUUCUCUUUUCUUCUCCCUACUGUGCUCCUCCCCAGUCCCAGGGGGCCGCGCACGAGUAACUCCCGAACCCAGGGCAAAACAGGAACCAACGCACGCAGGGUCGGCCCGGCUCCCCACCUCGCGGACUCUGCCACGCGACACCUGGUGCCCAGGCAGGGGAAGGCCUGCGGGGCGCUGGGAACAGCGAAUGGAGGACUUCAGAGAACUGGGAGACAGGAGACCCGGAGCGUGGUCAAAGCCCGGCUCCUGGACCGGGAAGCGGGGGAAGGGUCGCGCACGUGGCCUGGGGGCGGAGCUGGCUGCUUCCGCACCCCCACCGCGGCCACGUGCGGACCCGAGCCCUCCCCAUCGCGAACGGGGGCGCGCCCAGGACGAAGGUGGAAGUGUCCGGGGAGGGGGCAGGCUCCCGCCGGCCGCGCGCCCCGGCGUGGGGUGGGCGCGCCCGCGAGGAGGCGGGGCGCGCUCCGGGAGGAGGCGUGGUACGCCCCGGGAGGAG